rnacentral:rRNA from 1 species
UACGGAGGGUGCGAGCGUUAAUCGGAAUUACUGGGCGUAAAGGGUGCGUAGGUGGUCAAUUAAGUUAGAUGUAAAAACCCUGGGCUUAACCUGGGGCUGAGAUUUAAUACUGGUUGACUGGAGUAUUGGAGAGGGUAGUGGAAUUUCCGGUGUAGCGGUGAAAUGCGUAGAGAUCGGAAGGAACACCAGUGGCGAAGGCG